rnacentral:rRNA from 1 species
AACGAACGCUGGCGGCAUGCCUAACACAUGCAAGUCGAACGAGACCUUCGGGUCUAUUGGCUCACGGGUUCGUAACGCGUGGGAACCUGCCCUUAUGUUCGGAAUAACUCCCCGAAAGGGGUGCUAAUACCGGAUAAUGGCUACGACCCAAAGAUUUAUCGCCUUAGGAUGUGCCCUAGUUGCAUUAGCUGGUUGUUAGGCUAAAAGCAUACCACGGCGACGAUCCAUAGCUUGUCUCUGAGAAUGAUCAGACACUCUGGGACGGGGAUGCGGCCCAGACUCCUCCGGGAGGGAGCAGUGCGUGAUAGUGGAAACUGGGCGGAAGUCUGAGGCAGCACUGUGGCGAGAGUGAUGAAGGUAUUAGAGUAGUAAAGCUCUAUUAACCGGGAUCAUCAUGACAGUACCGAGAGAAUAAGCUCCGGCUAACUACGUG